CUUUCUAUCACAAGGCAAGGGCAUUCCUUCCAAGCUCAGGGAUCUGUCUCUGGAAGCGGAGGUUCUUCUGGAAGAGAUGAUACGUGAUUUCACUGGAGAAGAGGACAAAGGCAUGGCUGAAGAGCGUGAAAUGGGGCCUCCCAUGGAUGAACCGCAGCCUCCUGCGGAUGAACCGGAGUCUCCCGCGGAUGAACCGGAGCCUCCCGCGGAUGAACCCAAUGAAUACACUGUGGAAGGAUAUGAGACAGAACAGGCUCGCGAGAUAGAUGUUAUGGACUGAAACAGGCUCUAUACGGAACUGGACAACUCCGCGGUGAUCCAUGGCAGGCAUACCCGAGCUACUUUCCCAACGCCAAGGUGAAGGCCAAACU